rnacentral:rRNA from 1 species
UACAGAGGGUGCGAGCGUUAAUCGGAAUUACUGGGCGUAAAGCGUGCGUAGACGGUAGCGUAAGUCAGAUGUGAAGGCCCCGGGCUCAACCUGGGAACUGCAUUUGAGACUGCUCUGCUCGGGUGCGGAAGAGGGAAGCGGAAUUUCCGGUGUAGCGGUGAAAUGCGUAGAUAUCGGAAGGAACACCAGUGGCGAAAGCGGCUUCCUGGUCCGACACCGACGUUCAGGCACGAAAGCGUGGGGAGCAAACAGG